GGGGUACGUUAUCUGGCACUAUUGGGCGUAAGCGCGCGCACGUGGUUUCUUAAGUCUGAUGUGAAAGCCCACGGCUCACCCGUGGAGGGUCAUUGGAAACUGGGAGACUUGAGUGCAGAAGAGGAAAGAGGAAUUCCAUGUGUAGCGGUGAAAUGCGUAGAGAUAUGGAGGAACACCAGUGGCGAAGGCGACUUUCUGGUCUGUAACUGACACUGAGGCGCGAAAGCGUGGGGAGCAAACAGGAUUAGAUACCCUGGUAGUCCACGCCGUAAACGAUGAGUGCUAAGUGUUAGAGGGUUUCCGCCCUUUAGUGCUGAAGUUAACGCAUUAAGCACUCCGCCUGGGGAGUACGGCCGCAAGGCUGAAACUCAAAGGAAUUGACGGGGGCCCGCACAAGCGGUGGAGCAUGUGGUUUAAUUCGAAGCAACGCGAAGAACCUUACCAGGUCUUGACAUCCUCUGACAACCCUAGAGAUAGGGCUUCUCCUUCGGGAGCAGAGUGACAGGUGGUGCAUGGUUGUCGUCAGCUCGUGUCGUGAGAUGUUGGGUUAAGUCCCGCAACGAGCGCAACCCUUGAUCUUAGUUGCCAUCAUUUAGUUUGGGCACUCUAAAGGUGACUGCCCGGUGACAAACCGGGAGGAAGGUGGGGGAUGACGUCAAAUCAUCAUGCCCCUUAUGACCUGGGCUACACACGUGCUACAAUGGACGGUACAAAGAGCUGCAAGACCGCGAGGUGGAGCUAAUCUCAUAAAACCGUUCUCAGUUCGGAUUGUAGGCUGCAACUCGCCUACAUGAAGCUGGAAUCGCUAGUAAUCGCGGAUCAGCAUGCGCGGUGGAAAUACCCUUUCCCGGGGCCUUUGUACACACCCGCCCCGUCACACCACGAAGAGUUUGUAACACCCCGAAGUCCGGUGGGGGUAACCUUUUUUGGAGCCAGCCGGCCUAAGGUGGGACAGAUGAUUGGGGUGAAUCUAGAAAGAAGCCCCCCCCAUACAUAUAUAAAAGAGUCUCAUUUAAACACCCCGCUUUUUUA
rnacentral:rRNA from 1 species